ensembl:misc_RNA Metazoa_SRP Metazoan signal recognition particle RNA
GCUGGGCGUGGUGGUGCAUGCCUGUAAUCCCAGCUACUUGGGAGGCUGAGGCAGGAGAAUUGCUUGAACCCAGGAGGUGGAGGCUGCAGUGAGCCGAGAUUGUGCCACUGCACUCCAGCCUGGGUGACAGAGUGAGACUCUGUCUCAA